rnacentral:rRNA from 1 species
GAUGAACGCUGGCGGCGUGCCUAAUACAUGCAAGUCGAGCGAACAGACGAGGCGCUUGCUCCUCUGACGUUAGCGGCGGGCGGGUGAGUCACACGUGGAUAACGUACCUGUAAGACUGAGAUAACUUCGGGACACCGGAGCUAAUCCCGGAUAAUAUAUUGAACCGCAUGGUUCAAUAGUGAAAGACGGUUUUGCUGUCACUUAUAGAUGGAUACGCGCCGCAUUAGCUAGUUGGUAAGGUAACGGCUUACCACGGCAAGCAGGCGUAGCCGACGUGAGAGGGGGGUCGGCGACCUGAGAGCUGAGACACCGACCAUACUCCUACGGGACGCAGCAGUAGGGUAUGUGCCGCAAUGGGCGAGAGUAUGGCGGAGCAAGCGCGCGUGUGUUACGACGAUGUUGGGAUCGUAAUACCGUGUUAUGAGUUAUGAACAGAUGUGUAAGUAACUAUGCCCGUCUUGACGGUAACUGGUCAGAAAGCCCCGGCUAACUACGUG